AUGAGAGACUGGUAUCUUGGCCCUGACUUCUAUCAAUCUGUGAAAAUUGGCAUCGUUCAAUAUAUGAUACUGAAAAUGAUCUGUGCAAUGCUGGUAGUGAUCCUCCAGACUUUUGGGGUUUGUGGAGAGAGGCAGUUUGAAUGGAGACAUGGUUAUAUCAGAGGACUAUUUCCUGAGAAGUACUUCAAUGACAAGCCUGUUCCGGCGUUAGGCUUCCAUUUCCGGAUGACCAUUACAGAGCAUUAUAUGCAGAGAAUAGUCUGUGGUGAUUGGUGA